rnacentral:piRNA from 1 species
UGUUAGAGCCCAUUCAGGCCUACCUGGC